CAACUCUUUUCACCACCUGAUCUGGCAACACUGUCUAAUACUUGCAUUUCGUCAAAGCCUCUGUCAAAGCUGCAGAGAUUUGUGUGAGAUAUCCUCGGGGUUGUAUCUCCUUUUUACAAUCAUCUGGAAAGGAAGAGAACAACUGUCCUAUUGUUGUAAGGUUAUAAAUACCCCUGAAAGUACUUGUGACUCAAAUGUUUUUAAAUGCUUGUGAUCCCAAAACGUUGACAUGUUCAGACACAGACGUCGCGGGAUCCUUUAAUGUGUGUGUAUUUUACGAAUCUCCUCCCACCGCUGUCACCCUUGUCGUCUGUGAAUGUCAAUCUGGGCACAGGGUGUGUGAAUGCUAAAUGUGGAUUCCAUGCUUGCUUAAAGAAAGCUGUGACGUUGGUAGCUUGUCUUUGUAUGGUUUCAAAACACAAAGGCCGAGUGACACUUCAUCAGUGUGGAAGAGCGAAGCAUUUGUAUUGUAAAUAAGCUAAUUAAAUAUGCAUUCAUUUUUCUUUUGAUGAAAAUUAUGCAUAUAAUACAUUUUGUGUAAAAUAAUCCUGUUGUAUGAAAAAAAAGAAAAGAAAGAGAAAGAAAAAAAAAUGAAAAGUAGCUUGGGAAGUAUCAGCUCUGCUUUUUUGGAGAUAAGAUAAUGAAAUCCAGUUGGUUUACUUCAAUGGAAUGUAUUAAAGACAAUAGAGAGAUUUGCCUCUUUUUUUUUUGUUUGUUUUUGUUUUGUUUUUUCCAUCACUGACGUGUCAUAGUUUUUUUAACCACAUUCUUUGGUAGGGAAUAUAUAAGACUGAAAGAAACAAGUGGCAUCAGUGGCAGAUAUUAGGAAGCAGGAGAGUAAAUAAGGAACUUCUGACCUAUACUGUUACUUGGGGAGCAGGCCAAAAUGGGCAAUGAACAAUUCUUAAAGGUUUUGCUGAUACUGACAGUGGCAAUACAGCCGUAUUCAACACAAGAUAGUACAACAACCGUUGCAGCAACUACAACAACUCCUGCAGCAACUACAACAACUCCAGUAGCAACUACAACAACUGCUGCAGCAAGUACCACAACUGCUGGAGCAACAACAACAACU